rnacentral:lncRNA from 1 species
UUUUAUAGCUCAUGCUUUGAUUGAUUUUGGGGCCACACAUUAUUUUGUAUCAUGUAGAUUGUGAAGUGUUUAAGUCUAAAACCCGUACCCCUAAAUCGCACUUUAGUUGUAUAAACACCGGCCAAGAACAUACUAGUUUCUAACGUAGUGUACAAAUCUUGUCAGGUGAUAAUAGUUGGUAGAGAACUAGCAGAAGACCUUAUACUCUUACUCUUUUAGGGUUUCGAUGUAAUUUUGGGUAUGGACUGGUUAACUAGCUGUCGUGCUAAUUUGGAUUAUUAUCAUAAGAAGGUAACUUUCACCCCACCCCAAUGAAAAACCCCUUUCUUUGUAAAAAAAUGUACGAACU